AAAAUGCUAUUAUAACUUCUUAUUUGGAAUUCGUAUGCUUUAUUCUCAAGUAAUUGUUAUUUUUAAAUUUUUUUUUCCUUGUGUUUCUAAAGGAAAAGAUAAUGGAGAAGGAUUUUGGCUAUUAUUUGCAUUGUCUUUGUAAAUAAUACAUCUUAGAUAUGGAUAGUCUAUUCCCAACAAAUGAACAGCCAAAUUGGCCAUGCUGUGUUUCCACCAUGUGUUUCACAAGACUGGAGACAAGGUAAUGCAGGAACUCUGUUGAGGGACACCUGAACAGCCGAAUGCUUUAUGAACACUAUUUAAUUAAGCCUUAUGACAAUCCCGUGAGGAGAACCUGGAAACUGAAAGAUUGGUUUAAUCUCUGCAUAGCCACAAGAACGAGACUCAAUUAAGUAAAGCAAAUGAUCACAUUCAUUGUCAAUGCCAAGCCCACCUGGUUCCAUCCUAUCAAAGUGGUCAGAGACUCAAGGUCUAGCUGGAGAAAGCUAUUCCAGAUUCAUCCAGGGCAAUUCCACUCUUGCCCAAGAGGCUGUCCUAUCAGAUCAUAGAGCCAUCAAGCAAAGCCUCACAUGCAUAGGCCCAGAUGGAAGGGCAUCCCAGACUGGAAGGCCUGAUAGGAAUUUGGUAAAUUCUUCCUUUUAUUUCUUUUCCCCUAUUAGAAUAGCAAGAAAAUGUGGUCUGGGGAGAGAUGCUGAAAUAUUGCAAUUGGUGUCCACAUGUAACCACUCAGACAGUGCAGCUGUAUUGCCAAAAACAAAAGAAAAC
rnacentral:lncRNA from 1 species